GACGAACGCUGGCGGCGUGCUUAACACAUGCAAGUCGAACGAAGAGCGAUGGAAGCUUGCUUCUAUCAAUCUUAGUGGCGAACGGGUGAGUAACGCGUAAUCAACCUGCCCUUCAGAGGGGGACAACAGUUGGAAACGACUGCUAAUACCGCAUACGAUCUAAUCUCGGCAUCGAGGAUAGAUGAAAGGUGGCCUCUACAUGUAAGCUAUCACUGAAGGAGGGGAUUGCGUCUGAUUAGCUAGUUGGAGGGGUAACGGCCCACCAAGGCGAUGAUCAGUAGCCGGUCUGAGAGGAUGAACGGCCACACUGGGACGGAGACACGGCCCAGACUCCUACGGGAGGCAGCAGUGGGGAAUCUUCCGCAAUGGACGAAAGGCUGACGGAGCAACGCCGCGUGAGUGAUGACGGCCUUCGGGUUGUAAAGCUCUGUUAAUCGGGACGAAAGGCCUUCUUGCGAAUAGGGAGAAGGAUUGACGGUACCGGAAUAGAAAGCCACGGCUAACUACGUG
rnacentral:rRNA from 1 species